UUCUUUAUGAAGAUGUCCAUCCCAAAUAUGUAUCAUGUGGCCAUGGACCAUAUAUUAGGAAAUACUAUGUUCAUAAUAUCUAAAAACUAUAUAUCAAUUUGCCUAAAUAUGUCUGGAUUGCCUAGAUAAGUGUAUUAUAUUGUUGCUAGGUAUGAAUCAAAGAAGCUUAAAAUAUAUAUCAAAAACUCGAUGAAUAUAUCUUACUUGGAUAUAUAUUAUAUGCUAGUAA
rnacentral:lncRNA from 1 species